UACGGAGGGAGCUAGCGUUGUUCGGAAUUACUGGGCGUAAAGCGCGCGUAGGCGGCUUUGUAAGUUAGAGGUGAAAGCCCGGGGCUCAACUCCGGAAUUGCCUUUAAAACUGCAUCGCUUGAAUCCGGGAGAGGUGAGUGGAAUUCCGAGUGUAGAGGUGAAAUUCGUAGAUAUUCGGAAGAACACCAGUGGCGAAGGCGGCUCACUGGACCGGUAUUGACGCUGAGGUGCGAAAGCGUGGGGAGCAAACAGG
rnacentral:rRNA from 1 species